rnacentral:rRNA from 1 species
GAUGAACGCUGGCGGCGUGCCUAAUACAUGCAAGUCGAGCGAACGGACGAGAAGCUUGCUUCUCUGAUGUUAGCGGCGGACGGGUGAGUAACACGUGGAUAACCUACCUAUAAGACUGGGAUAACUUCGGGAAACCGGAGCUAAUACCGGAUAAUAUUUUGAACCGCAUGGUUCAAAAGUGAAAGACGGUCUUGCUGUCACUUAUAGAUGGAUCCGCGCUGCAUUAGCUAGUUGGUAAGGUAACGGCUUACCAAGGCAACGAUGCAUAGCCGACCUGAGAGGAUGAGCAGAGACAGUGGAACUGAUACACGGUGGAGAACACGACGGGAGGCACGAGGGGGGAAGAUUGGGAAAUGGGCGGAAACCUGACGAAGCAAUGACGCGGGAGGAAAGAAGGUCUAAGGAUCGUAAAACACUUGUAGUAGGGAAAAAAAGAAGGAAAAGAAAAACUGCCGGGCGGCACGGUGGCUAAAAAAUAAGAAAAGACGAAGGUCGUG